UACAGAGGGGGCAAGCGUUGUUCGGAAUUACUGGGCGUAAAGGGCGCGUAGGCGGCCUGUUAAGUCGGACGUGAAAUCCCUCGGCUCAACCGGGGAACUGCGUCUGAUACUGGCGGGCUUGAAUUCGGGAGAGGGAUGUGGAAUUCCAGGUGUAGCGGUGAAAUGCGUAGAUAUCUGGAGGAACACCGGUGGCGAAGGCGGCAUCCUGGACCGGUAUUGACGCUGAGGCGCGAAAGCCAGGGGAGCAAACGGG
rnacentral:rRNA from 1 species